rnacentral:tRNA from 1 species
GAUCACGUAGCUUAGUUGGCAGAGCAUUGGGCUGGUAUUCCAAAGGUCGUAGGUUCGAUUCCCACCGUGGCCA